CGAGGCACACGGCUUGCCAUAAGUCGGCUGCGUAAUCCCCACGGCGUUGACUUUUAGAAAAGCCAAACCAAAUUGUUCGGUUCACCUCAUCCAAGGCAACCCAAAAACAGGCCGUGCGUGAUUCGUGUCACGCGUCCAGCUCUAUGCUGCAGCUGCGUCCAUUAAGGCUCAACUCAAGCGUGCAGCUUAAACUCGAAAUGGCAACGACGACGACGACUACGACGUAGAAGAAGAAGAAGAUGGGGGCAGGCAAAGAGGAGCAGCGGACUCACUCGUUGCUUGGCGGGAGGCGGACUAGUGUGCCACAGACUGUGGCAACGAACGGCGGCCAAUUAGUGAGCAUUGCUCAUACGCCACGUUUGUCAUGGCAGCCGAGCGGCUCGUCUCCCACACACACACACACACACACACAUGCAUGCUGGCAGGCUCUCUCUCACUCUCUCACUCUGUCGCUCGCCCGCUCUCAGUGCUCGCCUAGCGGAAACGGAAGUUGUAAGGGGAUUUUCAAUUUGCAAUUGAACUGAUUUUUGGCUUGCUUCGACGUUUUUUCUCUCUCUCUCUCUGUCUCACUCUCUUCAUCUUCUUCAGCUCUCUGCUGCGCUCAUUUUAUGGCUGACUUGGUUACUUGGCUGCGGUGCCGAGCGUCGAAUGCGGAAAUGUAAUCAUCGCAAUGCCUGCCACGCCUAACCGCCCAGCGCCCCAUACCCACGCCUCCAUUCAGCACCAGAGGGCGCUUAUCGGCAAAGUCAAACGUGCAAGCACACACACACACACACCCACAUGCAGUUGCAUAUACGUGAGCGCACACAUAUACAUAUAUAUAUACUUACAUUUAAUUUUCACUAAUUGAAUCGAAAUCGAUCUCUCUUUGCAAUUUUUGUGUGCUGACUUUUUGGGUGACUGACAGAGGGCGGCAGUGGAGGGUAGGCGUGGCGUGGCGUGGCGCGCAUAGCUGCCAUCGUUCGCUCUUGCAGCGCAUUAAUAAACUUUUCGUAUAAAUCAACGAAUUUUGUCGACAUUUGGAUGCCGUUGCGCAAAUUAUCGAGCAUUUCCAGCAAAAACGCCAAACAGGAACAUGGCAAACGGGUAAAAGGAUUAACUCUGAUUCCGACUCUGAGGCUGACUUUUAUGC